UACGUAGGGUCCGAGCGUUGUCCGGAAUUAUUGGGCGUAAAGCGCACGUAGGCGGUUCGUUAUGUCGGAUGUGAAAGCCCUUGGCUUAACCGAGGAAGUGCAUCCGAAACUGGCGAGCUAGAGUACGAAAGAGGAUCGCGGAAUUCCCGGUGUAGAGGUGAAAUUCGUAGAUAUCGGGAGGAACACCGGUGGCGAAGGCGGCGAUCUGGGUCGAUACUGACGCUGGAGGUGGACGAA
rnacentral:rRNA from 1 species